rnacentral:rRNA from 1 species
UACGAAGGUCCCAAGCGUUAUCCGGAUUUAUUGGGUUUAAAGGGUGCGUAGGCGGGCUAUUAAGUCAGUGGUGAAAGCCCCAAGCUUAACUUGGGAACUGCCCUCCAAACUGCUUGGCUUGAGUCCGGGAGAGGUGAGUGGAAUUCCCAGUGUAGCGGUGAAAUGCGUAGAUAUUGGGAGGAACACCAGUGGCGAAGGCGGCUCACUGGACCGGAACUGACGCUGAGGCGCGAAAGCGUGGGGAGCAAACGGG